rnacentral:rRNA from 1 species
UUGAAAUAAAAAAAGUAUUAAAUUUAAAAGGGGUUUUAUUUUAAAAAAAAUAAUUUAAAUUUUAUUAUUAUAUUAAGAAAAAAUUAAUUAUUAUUAUAGUUUAUUGUAUUGUGAAAGAAUAUUUUUAAUUAUUUAAAAGAAAAAUUUAUUUUUUGUACCUUGUGUAUCAGGGUUUAUUAAAAUUUUAUAAAAAUUUAUUAUUCUCGAAUUUAAAAGAGCUAAAAAAUUAUUAUUAUUAAUGUAGAAUAAUUAUAUUAAAUAAUUUUUUUGUAAUGAAAUGUUAUUCGUUUUUAAAUAUAUCUAGUUUUUUAAGAAAAAAAUUUAAUUUUGUUACUAGUAAUAUAAUUUUGAGUGAAUAAUCUUAUGUUUAUAGUAAUUAAUAUUUUUAGGGAUUAGCUUAAAAAUAAAGUUUUAUUAAAAUAAAAAUUUAUUAAUGUUUUAGGAUUAGAAAUUUUCAUAAUUAAAAGUAUGUUAUAAUUUAAUUUAAAUAUUUAAAAUUUUUAUUUUUUAUAAAUUUAUAUAUUAAAAUAUAAAUUUUAAUUUAAUAAAUUUAGAAAUAAUGAUAAAAUUAGUAUAAUUUUUUAUAUAAAUAAAAAUUAAGUAAAUGUUAGUUAAAGGAACUCGGCAAAUUAAUUUUCACCUGUUUAAUAAAAACAUGUCUUUUUGGUAUUAAUUUAAGGUUUAACCUGCCCAAUGAAAGUUUGAAUGGCCGCAGUAUUUUGACUGUGCUAAGGUAGCAUAAUCAUUAGUUUUUUAAUUAAAAGCUGGAAUGAAGGGUUGGAUGAAAAAUUAACUGUCUCUAAUUAAUUUUAUUAGAAUUUUAUUUUUAAGUUAAAAAGCUUAAAUAUUUUUAAAAGACGAGAAGACCCUAUAGAGUUUCAUAUAUUUAAUUUAUUAAUAUUUAGGAUUUAUUUUUUAUAAUUAUUAUGUAUUUAAUUGGGGUGAUUAAAAAAUUUAAUUAACUUUUUUUUUAAAUUUAUAUUAAUUAAUAAAUUAAUGAUCCAAAAAUUUUGAUUAUAAGAUAAAUUACCUUAGGGAUAACAGCGUAAUUUUAUUAAAGAGUUCUAAUCGAAAAUAAAGUUUGCGACCUCGAUGUUGGAUUAAAAUUUAUAUUUGGUGUAGAAGCUAAAUAAUUUAAGUCUGUUCGACUUUUAAAAUUUUACAUGAUCUGAGUUUAAACCGGUGUAAGCCAGGUUGGUUUCUAUCUUUAAAUACUUAAAAUAUUUUAGUACGAAAGGACCAAGUAUU